AACGAACGCUGGCGGCAGGCUUAACACAUGCAAGUCGAACGAUCUCUUCGGAGAUAGUGGCAGACGGGUGAGUAACGCGUGGGAACCUACCUUAUUCUACGGAAUAACAGUUAGAAAUGACUGCUAAUACCGUAUACGCCCUCUUUUAGUGGAUAGUUGGGGGGGAAANAUUUAUCGGAGUAAGAUGGGCCCGNGUUGGAUUAGCUAGUUGGUGAGGUAAUGGCUCACCAAGGCGACGAUCUAUAGCUGGUCUGAGAGGAUGAUCAGCCACACUGGAACUGAGACACGGUCCAGACUCCUACGGGGAGCAGCAGUGGGGGAAUAUUGGACAAUGGGGCAACCCUGAUCCAGCCAUGCCGCGUGAGUGAUGAAGGCCCUAGGGUUGUAAAGC
rnacentral:rRNA from 1 species